CAGUCGCCGCGGGAAUACAGAGGGUGCGAGCGUUAAUCGGAUUUACUGGGCGUAAAGCGUGCGUAGGCGGCUUCUUAAGUCGGAUGUGAAAUCCCUGAGCUUAACUUAGGAAUUGCAUUCGAUACUGGGAAGCUAGAGUAUGGGAGAGGAUGGUAGAAUUCCAGGUGUAGCGGUGAAAUGCGUAGAGAUCUGGAGGAAUACCGAUGGCGAAGGCAGCCAUCUGGCCUAAUACUGACGCUGAGGUACGAAAGCAUGGAGCAAACAGGAUUAGAUACCCCCGUAGUCCCUGUCUCUUAUACAC
rnacentral:rRNA from 1 species